rnacentral:rRNA from 1 species
UGGGGAAUUUUGGACAAUGGGCGCAAGCCUGAUCCAGCCAUGCCGCGUGCGGGAAGAAGGCCUUCGGGUUGUAAACCGCUUUUGUCAGGGAAGAAAUCUUCUGAGUUAAUACCUCGGGAGGAUGACGGUACCUGAAGAAUAAGCACCGGCUAACUACGUGCCAGCAGCCGCGGUAAUACGUAGGGUGCAAGCGUUAAUCGGAAUUACUGGGCGUAAAGCGUGCGCAGGCGGUUUUGUAAGACAGAGGUGAAAUCCCCGGGCUCAACCUGGGAACUGCCUUUGUGACUGCAAGGCUUGAGUGCGGCAGAGGGGGAUGGAAUUCCGCGUGUAGCAGUGAAAUGCGUAGAUAUGCGGAGGAACACCGAUGGCGAA